rnacentral:rRNA from 1 species
GGUUAAGCGACUAAGCGUACACGGUGGAUGCCCUGGCAGUCAGAGGCGAUGAAGGACGUGCUAAUCUGCGAAAAGCGUCGGUAAGGUGAUAUGAACCGUUACAGCCGGCGAUGUCCGAAUGGGGAAACCCAGUGUGAUUCGUCACACUAUCGUUAACUGAAUACAUAGGUUAACGAGGCGAACCGGGGGAACUGAAACAUCUAAGUACCCCGAGGAAAAGAAAUCAACCGAGAUUCCCCCAGUAGCGGCGAGCGAACGGGGAGCAGCCCAGAGUCUGAAUCAGCUUGUGUGUUAGUGGAACGGUCUGGAAAGUCCGACGGUACAGGGUGAUAGUCCCGUACACCAAAAUGCACAGGCUGUGAACUCGAAGAGUAGGGCGGGACACGUGGUAUCCUGUCUGAAUAUGGGGGGACCAUCCUCCAAGGCUAAAUACUCCUGACUGACCGAUAGUGAACCAGUACCGUGAGGGAAAGGCGAAAAGAACCCCGGCGAGGGGAGUGAAAAAGAACCUGAAACCGUGUACGUACAAGCAGUGGGAGCACCUUCGGGUGUGACUGCGUACCUUUUGUAUAAUGGGUCAGCGACUUAUAUUCUGUAGCAAGGUUAACCGUAUAGGGGAGCCGCAGGGAAACCGAGUCUUAACUGGGCGUUAAGUUGCAGGGUAUAGACCCGAAACCCGGUGAUCUAGCCAUGGGCAGGUUGAAGGUUGGGUAACACUAACUGGAGGACCGAACCGACUAAUGUUGAAAAAUUAGCGGAUGACUUGUGGCUGGGGGUGAAAGGCCAAUCAAACCGGGAGAUAGCUGGUUCUCCCCGAAAGCUAUUUAGGUAGCGCCUCGUGAAUUCAUCUUCGGGGGUAGAGCACUGUUUCGGCUAGGGGGUCAUCCCGACUUACCAACCCGAUGCAAACUACGAAUACCGAAGAAUGUUAUCACGGGAGACACACGGCGGGUGCUAACGUCCGUCGUGAAGAGGGAAACAACCCAGACCGCCAGCUAAGGUCCCAAAGUCAUGGUUAAGUGGGAAACGAUGUGGGAAGGCACAGACAGCCAGGAUGUUGGCUUAGAAGCAGCCAUCAUUUAAAGAAAGCGUAAUAGCUCACUGGUCGAGUCGGCCUGCGCGGAAGAUGUAACGGGGCUAAACCAUGCACCGAAGCUGCGGCAGCGACACUAUGUGUUGUUGGGUAGGGGAGCGUUCUGUAAGCCUGCGAAGGUGUGCUGUGAGGCAUGCUGGAGGUAUCAGAAGUGCGAAUGCUGACAUAAGUAACGAUAAAGCGGGUGAAAAGCCCGCUCGCCGGAAGACCAAGGGUUCCUGUCCAACGUUAAUCGGGGCAGGGUGAGUCGACCCCUAAGGCGAGGCCGAAAGGCGUAGUCGAUGGGAAACAGGUUAAUAUUCCUGUACUUGGUGUUACUGCGAAGGGGGGACGGAGAAGGCUAUGUUAGCCGGGCGACGGUUGUCCCGGUUUAAGCAUGUAGGCUGGUUGUCCAGGCAAAUCCGGAUAAUCAAGGCUGAGGUGUGAUGACGAGGUACUACGGUGCUGAAGUAACAAAUGCCCUGCUUCCAGGAAAAGCCUCUAAGCAUCAGGUAACAUCAAAUCGUACCCCAAACCGACACAGGUGGUCAGGUAGAGAAUACCAAGGCGCUUGAGAGAACUCGGGUGAAGGAACUAGGCAAAAUGGUGCCGUAACUUCGGGAGAAGGCACGCUGGUGUGUAGGUGAAGUCCCUGCGGAUGGAGCUGAGACCAGUCGAAGAUACCAGCUGGCUGCAACUGUUUAUUAAAAACACAGCACUGUGCAAACACGAAAGUGGACGUAUACGGUGUGACGCCUGCCCGGUGCCGGAAGGUUAAUUGAUGGGGUUAUCCGUAAGGAGAAGCUCUUGAUCGAAGCCCCGGUAAACGGCGGCCGUAACUAUAACGGUCCUAAGGUAGCGAAAUUCCUUGUCGGGUAAGUUCCGACCUGCACGAAUGGCGUAAUGAUGGCCAGGCUGUCUCCACCCGAGACUCAGUGAAAUUGAACUCGCUGUGAAGAUGCAGUGUACCCGCGGCAAGACGGAAAGACCCCGUGAACCUUUACUAUAGCUUGACACUGAACAUUGAGCCUUGAUGUGUAGGAUAGGUGGGAGGCUUUGAAGCGUGGACGCCAGUCUGCGUGGAGCCAACCUUGAAAUACCACCCUUUAAUGUUUGAUGUUCUAACGUUGGCCCCUUACCGGGGUUGCGGACAGUGUCUGGUGGGUAGUUUGACUGGGGCGGUCUCCUCCCAAAGCGUAACGGAGGAGCACGAAGGUUAGCUAAUCCUGGUCGGACAUCAGGAGGUUAGUGCAAUGGCAUAAGCUAGCUUGACUGCGAGCGUGACGGCGCGAGCAGGUGCGAAAGCAGGUCAUAGUGAUCCGGUGGUUCUGAAUGGAAGGGCCAUCGCUCAACGGAUAAAAGGUACUCCGGGGAUAACAGGCUGAUACCGCCCAAGAGUUCAUAUCGACGGCGGUGUUUGGCACCUCGAUGUCGGCUCAUCACAUCCUGGGGCUGAAGUAGGUCCCAAGGGUAUGGCUGUUCGCCAUUUAAAGUGGUACGCGAGCUGGGUUUAGAACGUCGUGAGACAGUUCGGUCCCUAUCUGCCGUGGGCGCUGGAGAAUUGAGGGGGGCUGCUCCUAGUACGAGAGGACCGGAGUGGACGCAUCACUGGUGUUCGGGUUGUCAUGCCAAUGGCACUGCCCGGUAGCUAAAUGCGGAAGAGAUAAGUGCUGAAAGCAUCUAAGCACGAAACUUGCCCCGAGAUGAGUUCUCCCUGAGACUUUAAGUCUCCUGAAGGAACGUUAAAGACGAUGACGUUGAUAGGCCGGGUGUGUAAGCGCAGCGAUGCGUUGAGCUAACCGGUACUAAUGAACCGUGAGGCUUAACCUU